rnacentral:misc_RNA from 1 species
UGCCGGCUGGCUCCGUGCCCGUCCACCGAACGGUCGGCAGGCGAUCCGCGUCGUUCAUUUUGGGUGGUAUGGUUCCCCAGAGGCCGGUUCUUGUGCUGCCUACCCCUUCAGGGGAAGCGCGCCACUUGAUGUAAGCCUCCAUCCGGCGCCCUCCAACGGGCGCAGGAGGACAACGGAGCACCCCCCGCGUUCCACCGAGCCUUAGCCGGUCGCGUGGCGCGCGGGGACGUGCGAUGCUCUCGGACCCAGCGAACGCCGUGGGCGAGGACUCACGUCCCAGUCCCGAUAGAAGCUCCGAUAUAAUGCAUGACGUCCGUUCCCGACCCCCGACCGCCCCGGCGGUGAGGGGGCGAGGCGCGGCGUCGCGGAGGAAUGC